ACCAACGUCAGCCAAACUCCGAAUGCCAGUAAGUGAGAACGUAGCAGUGAGACAGUGGGGGAUAAGCUUCAUUGUCGAGAGGGAAACAACCCAGAACAGCAACUAAGGUCCCAAAGCGUGUGCUAAGUGGAAAAGGAUGUGAAGUCGCAUAGACAACCAGGAUGUUGGCUUAGAAGCAGCCACCAUUAAAAGAGUGCGUAAUAGCUCACUGGUCAAGUGAUUUCGCGCCGACAAUGUAACGGGGCUCAAGCACGCCACCGACGUUCUGUCAUUCACACAUCAUCCAGGUCGCAAGAUCCAGGAGUGUGGAUGGGUAGGAGAGCGUCGUGCAACUAGUGAAGCGGUGGAGGAAUCCAACCGUGGAAGUUGCACGAGUGAGAAUGUAGACAUGAGUAGCGAAAGAUGGGUGAGAAACCCGUCCGCCGAAUGACCAAGGGUUCCUGGGCCAGGCUAAUCCGCCCAGGGUAAGUCGGGACCUAAGACGAGGCCGUCAGGCGUAGUCGAUGGACAACUGGUUGAUAUUCCAGUACCCGCUAAGAGCGCCCAGAACGAGCCUGCUAAUGCUAAGUGCCUGAAGUCUUCUUGGGGUAAAACCUAAAGGGGGCGGAGCGCGCGACCCAAGGCAGUAGUAGUUCAGCAAUGGUGUGACACAGGAAGGUAGUUCAGCCCAGGCGAUGGUUGUCCUGGGGUAAGAGUGUAGGAAGUAGCGUAGGUAAAUCCGCGCUACACAUUUCUGAGACUCGAUGCCGAGCCGUAUGGCGAAGUGAAUGAUCCUAUGCUGUCAAGAAAAACAUCUAGCGAGCUCAACAGCGGCCCGUACCCGAAACCGACACAGGUGGUCAGGUAGAGAAUACCAAGGCGAUCGAGAGAAUCGUGGUGAAGGAACUCGGCAAAUUACCCCCGUAACUUCGGGAUAAGGGGGGCCAAAUUACGUGUAGGGAUUUACUCCCGAAGCGUGAGUUGGCCGCAGAGACUAGGCUCAAGCGACUGUUUACCAAAAACACAGGUCCGUGCAAAUUCGUAAGAAGACG
rnacentral:rRNA from 1 species